GCGUUCGUAGCUCAGUUGGUUAGAGCUGGGGGUCGUUGGUUCGAGUCCAAUCGAACGCACCA
rnacentral:tRNA from 1 species